rnacentral:rRNA from 1 species
AGUAACGCGUAGGAAUCUACCUGGUAGUGGGGGACAACAUGGUGAAAACCAUGCUAAUACCGCAUACGCCCUAAGGGGGAAAGCGGGGGAUCUUCGGACCUCGCGCUAUCAGAUGAGCCUGCGUAGGAUUAGCUUGUUGGUGAGGUAAAGGCUCACCAAGGCGACGAUCCUUAGCUGGUCUGAGAGGAUGAUCAGCCACACUGGAACUGAGACACGGUCCAG